rnacentral:rRNA from 1 species
UACGGAAGGGGCAAGCGUUGUUCGGAAUCAUUGGGCGUAAAGGGCGCGUAGGUGGUUCUGUAUGUCUACCGUGAAAGCAUACGGCUCAACUGUAUUAUGUCGGUAGAAACUGCAGGACUUGAGGCUGGGAGGGGCUGGUGGAAUUCCCUGUGUAGCGGUGAAAUGCGUAGAGAUGGGGGAGAACACUCGUGGCGAAGGCGGCCAGCUAGACCAGUUCUGACACUGAGGCGCGACAGCGUGGGGAGCAAACAGG